rnacentral:rRNA from 1 species
UGCGCAGGUGGGCUUGUAAGUCAGUGGUGAAAUACUGCCGCUUAACGGUAGAACUGCCAUUGAUACUGCAAGUCUUGAGUAUGGUUGAGGUAGGCGGAAUGUGUUGUGUAGCGGUGAAAUGCAUAGAUAUGACACAGAACUCCAAUUGCGAAGGCAGCUUACUAAGCCAUUACUGACGCUGAGGCACGAAAGCGUGGGGAGCGAACAGGAUUAGAUACCUGGUAGUCC